ACAUGCAGUCGAACGAUGAACCACUUCGGUGGGGAAGAGUGGCGAACGGGUGAGUAACACGUGGGCAAUCUGCCCUGCAACUCUGGGAUAACUCCGGGAAACCGGAGCUAAUACCGGAUACGACUCUCCAGGGCAUCCUGGAGGGUGGAAAGCUCCGGCGGUGCAGGAUGAGCCCGCGGCCUAUCAGCUGGUUGGUGGGGUAACGGCCCACCAAGGCGACGACGGGUAGCCGGCCUGAGAGGGCGACCGGCCACACUGGGACUGAGACACGGCCCAGACUCCUACGGGAGGCAGCAGUGGGGAAUAUUGCACAAUGGGCGCAAGCCUGAUGCAGCGACGCCGCGUGAGGGAUGACGGCCUUCGGGUUGUAAACCUCUUUCAGCAGGGAAGAAGCGCAAGUGACGGUACUUGCAGAAGAAGCACCGGCUAACUACGUGCCAGCAGCC
rnacentral:rRNA from 1 species